UUUUUCUUUUUUCUUUUUUCUUUUUUUCUUUCAAUAUAUUAUUAUUAAUUUUAAUUGUAUAUUUUAUUAAACACUUUAAAAUGUCCUAUAGUCCAAAAGAAUAGUUUUGUCUAGAAUCAUGUUCACUGAUUGUGAUGCACUAAGUGAAUAUUGGGUGGCUUACUCUGGGAAACCCCAUUGAGAUUCUGCAGUUCCCAGAACAACAAUAAUAUAAGCUGUUGAGCUAGAGAUUAGAAAUUUGUGCAAUUACACAAAACGGAGCACACUCAUUCUAAUAAACUUACAUUUUGUUGCUACUUGACCAAUAGCCAUGACAUAGACGACAGUGUGUUGGUGCAUUUUAGUUAGAUUUUGGUUUGGUUGUCUUUUUUUUUUUUUUUUCUUUCAUCUUCACCUUCAUUAGUACAUGUAAUCAAAUGCCUAUGCUGCAUAGUGGAAUACUGGAGAGUAUCCAACCUGCAUUACAUGUGCAAAGUUCUUUUUAAUAGAUCUUUUGUUUGCAUCCAAUUGUUUAGGUUGUGUCAUAUUUGUCCAUUUUUUUUUUCUGGAGUUGCCACAAGAGUGUAGGGAACUGGUGUUAACUGGAUGAUCAUGAUGCCUAUUAUAUAUAAAUGUGCCUUGGCUGAAUAUAGUAUUAGUUCUUUCAUAAAUCUUCAAAACUUAGAAAAGAAGGAAGAGAACAUAGAGUUGUUCUGCAUAUUGUUGGUACAGCAUGCAAUGGGGUUCUCAAUUCUAUCACACUCGACGGUGUAGUUCUCCUCCAUCAUGAGCCACUGAAGAUUCCAACUCAAUCUGACAGUGUUCCAGAGUAUACUUGCUAGCCCAGGAGUGCCACAGGCCUACACCUUUUGCCUUCAAUUUUAUCAUUGGGAAACUCUCCGGCAGAUGAUUUUGCAACAAAUCUGAUCCUCUAAUUGAGAGGACUGGUAAGUUUCUGUCCUAUGCUACUUUGCGAAAUAAUUCCAUGUUAUCAAAGCGAGGUGCACGAGCACCAUGUGCUAUGAUAAUAUGCUGCAAGAUAACUUGCUACAGUCCCCUCAUUUUCUGAUUUAUUCCUAGGCAGUAAUGAAAUGUUCCCCACACUUGGAGAAUGAAGUAAUGUUCUUGAUUUAGUCAUUCAACGUAACUAGUUAUUUUAAAGACUUGCCAGCAAUAUCUAAUCAGAAGAGUAUUACAUUCGUACUUCUUCUGUAGGUAAACAAGCCUCUACAUGCAUGUGGAUAUUGUUAGUUACUUGAUGCUAACAUAGGCUUUGGAGAAGCUAACUUUAUUUGCAACAUAUGACAUUAGAAAGUCACUCACACUUACUCUGUUCUCUCCCACUUUCACACACUCCUCACAGUCACACCAUAGUUUUAAAAGGCUCAAGGUGCAAAGUCCUCCCGGAGCCUAAGGCGCAAGGCUUUAGUGAAGUGAGGUGGAUCUUAUUUUACAUAUAUAUAUUUAUAUAAUAUAAUCAAGUGCCCGGAAAUUUUCCUCUAUUUUUCAUCUUCCCCUUCGUCUUCGUCUCUUCUUCACACUGUUUAGGAGGCUAGGGCUUUUUUUUUUUUUUUUUUUUUUGUGUUUUACAGGUCCAAAAUGAGCAUAUAUUGGGUUCUAGAAGAAGAACAAGCCAAAAUGUGGCCUGCUUUUUUUUAAAAAAAGAUCAGGCUGUAAAACAACGUCAUUUUAGCCUAUUUCUUUUAAAAGAACAGGGGCCAAGACAUCCUUCGGGAGCUUGAUAUUUUUUAGAAAAAAAACAGGUAAAAAACGACGUCAUUUUGGCCCCUAUUCUUUUAAAAGAAUAGACCAAACGACAUCGUUUUGGUCUCAGGAAAUUAAAAAGCCAAAAACCUCAUCAUUGUCCCUUUGCUGCCCUGCUACUCGUUGCCAGAGGGAGAGAAGAUGGCCAAAAAAAAGACAGAGAAGAAGACGGCAACAAAGGAUAGAGGCGUGCUUGUUGGGGGCGUUGCGCCUGCAGUCAGGCAAGGCGCUUGAGGGUGGCGUCGUGCCGCUUGGAGACUAAGCGCGCCUUUCACAACUAUGAGUCCCUAAAAAAUAUGCUGAAUUUGGCGUUCUCAUUAUUCUGAGAGAGGGAGGUGAUGAUACUUGUUUAAUUACAUGCAAAUUACGUGGUCGUCAUCCUGUCUGAAAUUGAGGAACCAAAUAUUUUUUUACGAGUGAUACAUCUCAAUUAUAAGGCAACCAACCUAGAACCUCAGGAAGGGAAUUGGAUGAUGGUAGGCUGAGGACAAAUAACAGCAUCAACAGGACAUGGUUGGCUAGGCAGAUAUUGUUGGUUGUGCUGCCUUCAAUACGCUAGUGUACCGACCAACUUAUUUGUUAGAUGCCAAACAGACAAAUGUAACAGUAGUAGCUUUUGUUUGCACAACAAAGCAGCUCUUAUGUAGUAGAUGUUAGUAGACACCGGUAGCUGUAGCCAAGGACAGAGUUGCAAUUAACAUGGCCAUGGGCCACUUAUUUAGUACACAUUUGGCAGACUUGUAACAGCAGCUUUUGUUUUCACUAGAUGUUACUCAUUUAUGAAA